rnacentral:rRNA from 1 species
GACGUAGGGUGCAAGCGUUGUCCGGAUUUAUUGGGCGUAAAGAGUUCGUAGGCGGUUGCCUAAGUCUGAUGUUAAAGCCCGGAGCUCAACUCCGGUAUGGCAUUGGAAACUGGGCAGCUUGAGUAUGAUAGAGGUUACGGGAAUUCCUGGUGGAGCGGUGAAAUGCGCAGAUAUCAGGAGGAACACCAAUGGCGAAGGCAGCUCGCUGGAACGGUACUGACGCUGAGGCGCGAAAGCGUGGGGAGCGAACAGGAUUAGAUAC